rnacentral:rRNA from 1 species
UGGGGAAUAUUGGACAAUGGGCGCAAGCCUGAUCCAGCCAUGCCGCGUGAGUGAUGAAGGCCCUAGGGUUGUAAAGCUCUUUCACCGGUGAAGAUAAUGACGGUAACCGGAGAAGAAGCCCCGGCUAACUUCGUGCCAGCAGCCGCCGUAAUACGAAGGGGGCUAGCGUUGUUCGGAUUUACUGGGCGUAAAGCGCACGUAGGCGGACUAUUAAGUCAGGGGUGAAAUCCCGGGGCUCAACCCCGGAACUGCCUUUGAUACUGGUAGUCUUGAGUUCGAGAGAGGUGAGUGGAAUUCCGAGUGUAGAGGUGAAAUUCGUAGAUAUUCGGAGGAACACCAGUGGCGAAGGCGGCUCACUGGCUCGAUACUGACGCUGAGGUGCGAAAGCGUGGGGAGCAAACAGG